CAUGAUUACUUCAGUAAUUACUCAUUCUAAUACAACUUGAGUGAGGUGCUGGGAGAUUAGCAAAGGCCAACAACUAUACUCAAAAAUAAUCCAAGCAUCAAAUGUACUAUAGGUUUAUUUAAGUCCCAUCACAGUAUAGGAUCAGGGGCAAAGUUUAAGAAGAGGCUUAACUUUGUGGUUAAAACACCAGGAAGUAGCUAAAUUUUCAUUUUUCUGGCCACAUCUACACCAUCUCUUGGUAGUGGCCACCUGUGAUAAGCAGAAAGUCAGCGAGGGAGGGAAUGGCAGGCAGGGCAGCUGUGUAUGCAGCUGUUCUGAGGACACACAUGGCUCAGCUUCCAUCCUCAUCGAGCAGGAGUAGCCCUUCCUACACUUCUCCUGCCCUGCCCUACUUGUGGAAACAUACCUGGGAUGUGCCUUGCCACGGAUGGACUCCCUGGCAAAUGUCUUACUGGGAAAUGCAGCAGUGAAGAGCAGCAGGUAGCUACCUCCAUGCAUCAGGAAAUGCUGUGCAAGUCUUCAGGAGGGGCUUCCUGAUGAAGGAGCUCUUGUGACAUGGGUUUGGUGCUUCCUGAUGAGCCCUGGGGCUGAGAGGAAAAUGAGUGGGCUCCUCAGCAACUUUCUGGGUAUGAGGCAAUCCCUGCCAGCUGAAUAGGACAUGGAAGCAGAGGAUGGCCCUAGGGAGCAGGGAAUCUGCUCCUGGCAGGCAGCUGAGCUGCUCAUCUCUGCCGGGGAGCUGCAGCCCUGGCUGGGCAGCUCCUGGGCCUUGGCUCACGGUGCCUCACAGCCAGGGCUGCCCAGGGCUCUGCCCCAGUGUCAUCUCUCCUUCCCUCUCUGCCUCUGCUACUGGCAACAGUGGGCACCACCUGGAUUUGGGGAUUAUGGAACUGUGAAGCUUACUUGGCUCCUUAGGAUACAUGAUAAAAAUGUGCAGAAGAAAACAUUCACUUGCUACAGCAGGCCCUGGGUCAGGCCCUAUUAUUGCUGCUGGCAGGGGCCUCUCAGGCCUCUUCUCCUCUCAGCCAUCCAAAGAAUUUGAGAGAAAAGGAAGAAAGCACCUCUUAAGGGAACAGACUUAUUUCCUGACAUGCAACUCACAAGAACCGAGAGCCAACAUAAUCCAUAUGAAGAAAAAGAAGCAAAAUCCAUAGGGAUAUAUCUGUGUACACGUUAUUAAGCAUCAAAGGUAAAGUUAGACUAACAAUAACCCAAAUAAAAUGCAUUGUGAUUGAAUAAUUAGUUGAAGU
ensembl:lncRNA